rnacentral:miRNA from 1 species
UGUCUCAUGUAUUGGAAUGUUG